rnacentral:tRNA from 1 species
ACAUUGGUGGUUCAGUGGUAGGAUUCUUGCCUGUCACGCAGGAGGCCCGGGUUCGAUUCCUGGCCAAUGCA